AAUUGGUGCGAUGGCACAUUAUUCUAGUCAUUACAUUUACUAUGAAGGUGGGGCUAAAAAUCCACUAAAGAGCAUAUCUGUGAAACUUUUGGUGCUUGCUUAUUUCGCCCAGAUUUGGGUGAGUGCUGGAAGGUAGAAUGUUGGGCAACCGUAAUGGCAUACGAUUUUGACCCAGCAUUCAUGGAGACCUAUGAUUGUUAUAAGCCUAUACACGCAUCGUUGACGGACUUAUGACGACUUAGGAUUAAACCUACUAUGUGGGGACACCUACGAGUAGUGUAGCUUGUCUUGAGUGGGUAUUUUGGGAUUGAUGUCAGACUGUUUUAAGUUGGCCGAUUUAAAAUAGUUAUUGCUUCAUGAAAUGAUACUUGCAAAAGAGAACUAAUAGUGAAUACAUGGUGAGGAAAUCUUCUAGAGUGUAAUUGAAUAUAGGAUUGCGGUACGUACUAAGUGGCGAUCAAGUUAUAUAUCUGGUGACAAUAUAUUAGUUUUUUUAAAGGGGAACCGCAGGGAGGUAACAAACUGUAAAAACUAGAGAAAUUCUACUUGACCUAAGACGUAAAGUUUACUGUAUUCAUUGCCAUCUUUAUUUUUUU
rnacentral:sRNA from 1 species